UUUAGCCUAUGUCAAAAAAAAAAAAAAAACUGGUUGACAUCUCAAUUUUCUUGCCAACUUUUUCCCCCCAAAAAAAUCUAAAAUGUUGGUUAUUAAUUGUUCAGAUUUAUAUUUUUUUUUAGGUUCAUAUGAUCGAAUGUUGAUUAGCCUGCAACAAUGAGGAAAUUGAAACCGUGAAGGUCAAAUAUUGUGUUCAAAUCACACUUCAUAGACACAUUCAAAAGUAUCAUAACUCGAGACUACAUCAAAAGUAAGAUUCAAGAUGGAAAAUAUAGAAAAAGUUAAGAGUAUGAUUUGUUAUCUUGUAAUUCAAGUACAAUUUUACAUAAGCAACGUCUAAGAUGUUAAUUUUUUGGUAAAAUAUGUUAUUUGACAUGUUUUAAUUGCACAUUAUAUGUAAAUAUAUGUUCAAUGUAAUAAGAGUGUAAUACAAUAA